rnacentral:sRNA from 1 species
UUUAAAGAUUGUUAGGUGAGGCUCCUAUACAAACAUAGGCUACUGCCCAAAAAUGUCGAGAGACGCCAAUGGGUAUAACAGGAAUUGCCGAUUUAAGGCUCUUCUUAACGUAGCUAAAGCAAUUAUUGCUUUUACGUUGUAUAGUGCUAAAACUCAACGAAUGAAUCAAACAU